rnacentral:rRNA from 1 species
UACGUAGGGCGCAAGCGUUAUCCGGAAUUAUUGGGCGUAAAGAGCUCGUAGGCGGUUUGUCGCGUCUGACCGUGAAAGUCCGGGCUCAACUCCGGAUCUGCGGUGGGUACGGGCAGACUAGAGUGAUGUAGGGGAGACUGGAAUUCCUGGUGUAGCGGUAGAAAUGCGCAGAUAUCAGGAGGAACACCGGUGGCGAAGGCGGGUCUCUGGGCCGAUACUGACGCUGAGGAGCGAAAGCGUGGGGAGCGAACAGG